UGUUCCUACGGGGCGCAGCAGUGGGGGAUAUUGCACAAUGGGGGAAACCCUGAUGCAGCGACGCCGCGUGAGCGAUGAAGCAUUUCGGUAUGUAAAGCUCUAUCAGCAGGGAAGAAAAUGACGGUACCUGACUAAGAAGCCCCGGCUAACUACGUGCCAGCAGCCGCGGUAAUACGUAGGGGGCAAGCGUUAUCCGGAUUUACUGGGUGUAAAGGGAGCGUAGACGGCAGUGCAAGUCUGAAGUGAAAGGUAAGGGCUCA
rnacentral:rRNA from 1 species